rnacentral:rRNA from 1 species
UACGGGAGGCAGCAGUGGGGAAUAUUGCACAAUGGGCGCAAGCCUGAUGCAGCCAUGCCGCGUGUAUGAAGAAGGCCUUCGGGUUGUAAAGUACUUUCAGUCGUGAGGAAGGUGUUAAGGUUAAUAACCUUAGCAAUUGACGUUAGCGACAGAAGAAGCACCGGCUAACUCCGUGCCAGCAGCCGCGGUAAUACGGAGGGUGCGAGCGUUAAAUCGGAAUUACUGGGCGUAAAAGGGCACGCAGGCGGUUAAUUAAGGUUGGAUGUGAAAUCCCCGGGCUUAACCUGGGAAUGGCAUUCAAGACUGGUUAGCUAGAGUCUUGUAGAGGGGGUAGAAUUCCAUGUGUAGCGGUGAAAUGCGUAGAGAUGUGGAGGAAUACCGGUGGCGAAAGGCGGCCCCUGGGACAAAGACUGACGCUCAUGUGCGAAAAGCGUGGGGAGCAAAACAGGAUUAGAUACC